GCAGUGAUGACAUUAGGAGUCUCAGGCGGAUCAAAUUCAAAUUCUCCGGCGUCGAUCAUAUCCUGAAUUUUGUUCUUCAACGACCAACAAUUGUUUGUAUCAUGCCCGGGGCUAUCGGAGUGAUAUGCACACCUGGCAUUGGGAUUAUAACGAGGAGAAGUAGUGUUGGGUUUUGCAGGAGGAUCUCUGAGGGUAAUUAAAUUUGCUUUUAGCAUACCCUGCAGUG
rnacentral:lncRNA from 1 species